rnacentral:rRNA from 1 species
UACGGGGGGGGCAAGCGUUGUUCGGAAUUACUGGGCGUAAAGGGCUCGUAGGCGGCCAACUAAGUCCGACGUGAAAUCCCCAGGCUUAACCUGGGAACUGCAUCCGAUACUGGAUGGCUUGAAUCCGGGAGAGGGAUGCAGAAUUCCAGGUGUAGCGGUGAAAUGCGUAGAUAUCUGGAGGAAUACCGGUGGCGAAGGCGGCAUCCUGGACCGGCAUUGACGCUGAGUGAGCGAAAGCCAGGGGAGCAAACGGG